rnacentral:tRNA from 1 species
GACGAAUUCCUGGCUGUGGUCGAUAGCGACCUGCAGCAUCUCGCGCUCGGGACUCCACCAGAAGCCGUUGUAG